GAACCAUUAAAUAUAUUUGGUUCAUGUAUCAUGUGAUUAAAAAACAAUAUAUAAAUGUUUUUCGCAUACACACACACAAGUAUGUAGGCGGGUGAUCCAGAGCCAGGUUGGUGGCUUUGUGGUCAUCACGGUCCAGGCUCUUCCUUUCUGUUCCUGGUUCUGGGAGGUUCCACUUCCCAGUUCAUGGCGUCCCUUCUCCAGGAGCGUAGCUGUUCAAGAUGGCUGCUGGGCUCUUCUCUGGCCAGAGAUGGCAACAUAGCUGGCUUCUCCCCAUUCACACAGAUAAUGACCUUUCCAAGGGAGAACUAAGAUGUCAGGACUUUGCUAGAGGUCUCGGCGUGGGUGGGGGGAAGGUAGAAGGGAAGUCAACACCCGCAGAGUGGGUCACAUGAUCUGGCUUUGUGCCUAGUGCCCUUGGGGCCCCAAGUCCCCUCAUCCUCACUUCUCUCUUCUGUAAUGCCCUGGUCUCUGCCAGCCUCCCAUGCUAGGUAUAGCUCUGGGAGGAGUGAGACCGCCUUGUCCUUGUUCCUAUGACACGAAUGAGAUGAUCCCCCUGUCUGGGGACUAUAUCCAACAGAAAACUCUUCCUCAGAACUCAUCCAGACUAUUACCAUCAGAUCUGGGAAGGACAGUGAUAUUUGAAACGCAAAGCAGGUAAAAGAUGUUGCUAAGCCCUGUCUGCCCUAGAGCAUUGGUAAGCCUGGGACACCUCCGUUUUCCCUGAGCCCUGGGGUGGAGUGUGGGUCCUUACUUCAAAUGCCUAUGUGUCUGUGGAGUGAAUAACAUUCAUCCCCUUGGCCUGUCCACCCUGAUGAGUGGUCAUUAAAACCACUCUUAGUAGUUAUUAAAAUAAUUGCUGGGCUCUUGAAAAUGUUGCCUGGUUGUCUGCUGUGGCACAGGAUUGCUCACUGAAGACCCCAUGACUGCUGGCACAGCCCCCUGCCCCCCAGUAAUCCCAAUCCCACAGCUCCUUGAGGCUGGGGUGAAUUUUGUAUUCUUCUGGUUUCCAUAGAUGGGAGCUUGGCCAAAGCUGUCAUUAAACAGAAGUGCAGAUAAAGCCCAUCUCAUGGAAUCCAGAAGGUGUAGGCAUUUACUGCUCUUCACAGAAGCUCUCUUGAAUUUCUAUAUAUCUUGACUCUGCUUCUUCAAGACUAGUGUAUACCAGACGGGGCUGUUGUGAUCAAUAGCUCAGUGGUUCUCAAACUUUGGAAUAUCCCAGUCAAAUGAGGGCUCAUUAAGAUGCAGACUGCUGGGUCUCACCUUCACAGUUUCUCAUUCAGCUCAUCAGGGAUGGGUCUGAGAAUCUGUUCUCUAGCAACUUUACAGACACUGAGCCUGCUGGUCCAGGAACUUCCCCUUUGAGAACCACCUCUCUAGCUUUACACUUUCUUGAAUCAGACAUCCAGGAAUUCAAGGAAACCUUAGCAUACCUGCCCUUCACCCUUCACCCUGGUUAUCUUACCUGUCAAAUGGGAGCAUUGCUGCUCAGGGUUGUUGUGAGGCCCUGGACUAGGGCCUGGUGAGCAACAAGUGAGUUCAGCUCACAUGCUGGAACAACUAGGCUGUGAGGCAGUUAAUGGACUUGUUAACCAUAGUAACUGACAUUUCCCAUCCUUGCAGCAUGGAUGCGUACCCUCCCACAUCAAUCAGGGAAUAUCUUGACCGACCUGUUUCUAACCUGGCCCUGCCUGACCAAGCCUGACCUUUGGGGCUGUAUCUCUGAAAAGUGCUGCAUGACCUUUCUGCAGUUACAGACCAUGGGACAAGAAACUGACCUUUCUUUUCUUUUGAAAAAUACUCCCAUUUUUCACAGAGACUCUGAUCCCAGUACCCAGCAUUCUAGAGCAUAAGAGGGAGGGCAGGCAGAACUGGGGUUGCUUCUCAUGCCAUGGUAGCCGACACCUUUUGUACUAAGGAGACUCUGGGGUUCCUUACACAAUAAACUGUUGGUUUGCUAA